CUUUUUGUUCUAUUGCUGGCUUUCGUUUUUCUACGCUGUGUUGAGCGAUCUGAUACCUUUGAGGGGUCUUUUUCACCUAUUUGUUCGGUUCAUCUUCCGAUUGUUCUUGAUUUUGUGGUUGUUUGAUCGAGAAAUGGGGGAUUUCUACGCGGACUUGACGGCGUUGAUGAGGAAGCCGGCGGUGGUGGAGACCCUGAUCGACGUUCUGCUUUGCGCAGUGCCGAUCUGGUUGUCAGUCUUGAUCGGGUUAGUCAUCGGGUGGUCGUGGCGGCCGCGGUGGACGGGGUUGCUCUACCUUGGCCUCCGGAGUAGGUUCCGGUUCAUCUGGACGGCGCCGCCGGGGUUCAGCGCCCGAAGGCUUUGGCUCGCGGUGACCGCACUCUCGGCCUUCUCCGUUUUCCGGAAAUUGUGGUCGAGUUUCGAGGGGAAGAACGGGGAGCUUCCGGCGGCGGAAGGACCGGGGUCGACGACGCUAGUAUCCAUGAGCUCAGCGGCGAUUGAAAGAGAUAGCGACAGUUUGAGUUCGAGCAUUGAAAUGGAUGAGCAAGAUAUUGUUUCCGAAAAGGAUUUGGAGCAUCUAUUGCACAUUCUAGAUAGUAAUGUUGGAGAUGCAGCUUGGCAGAAUCAGAUGGAACGCACCACGUCCAAUAUGAUUUACCAAUCAUGGCGUCAUGAGCCAAAGGAGGGCCCUAUAAUUUAUCGUAGCAGAACAGUUUUUGAGGACGCAACUCCGGAAUUGGUCAGAGACUUUUUCUGGGAUGAUGAUUUCCGGUUAAAAUGGGAUUCAAUGCUUGUACACUUCAAAAUAUUGGAGGAAUUCCAUCAGAGUGGAACCAUGAUUGUACACUGGAUUAAAAAGUUCCCAUUUUUUUGCAAUGAUAGGGAAUAUAUAAUUGCUCGUCGUAUAUGGGAGUCUAGAGGGAGCUAUUAUUGUGUGACAAAGGGAAUACCAUACCCAUCUUUACCCAAAAAGGAGAAACCCAGGCGCGUCGAUCUGUACUUCUCUAGUUGGUGCAUCAGGGCCGUGGAAUCGCACAAGCAAGAUGGCCAACUAUCUGCAUGUGAAGUAACUCUCGUCCACUUCGAGGACAUGGGCAUACCCAAGGAUGUCGCCAAGGUUGGUGUUCGACAUGGGAUGUGGGGGGCAGUUAAGAAACUGCAUUCUGGUUUGAGGGCAUAUCAACUGAUGGCGAGAACUGAAGCUUCUCUAUCUAGAUGUGCGCUCAUGGCACAAAUCACAACUAAGGUUUCCCACAAUGGAGCCAUCACUCAACUCGAACCAGAGUCCUCGAGCUCUACUUCUAGAACAGCUGACAGCAUUGCCAAAUAUGAUAAGGCGCAUCGAGGAAUCGACUGGAAAUGGGUGGUUAUUGGGGGAGUUACUGUGGCAUGUGGUCUUCAUGCUGGUCAUAUUGGAAAAGCCCUCUUAGUUGGAGGAGCUGCAGCGAGACUCGCAAAAAAGUGAGUCGGAGGGCAUGCUGUAAUUGAAGGCUGAGCUGAUCAGAUUUACUUCGGAUCUUGGCAUGUUUGUAGGAACAACAUUCAAUUUGUCUCGAUUGUCUUGUCUGCAAGAAGGGCUGCUAGUAAACAGAGAAAACUGCAACUCGCCGACGGAAAAUACAGGUUUUGGUGACUACUUGCUCGGUUGUAUUCGCGUGAAGCUAGCAUUGAAGUUAUGCAGUAAUUCUUCAUCAAAAUGCUCCAAUAUUUUGAAAUCUCAUUUAAACACUCGAGUCCUUGUUGCCUUUGUUUCUUGAAACAUGUUAUCAUUCUUGCAGCGAACCUAUUCAACCCCUUGACUUUCGAAGAUAUAGUCAACGUGACAGUACAUGGGAGAUCAACAUCAACUUGAUGAAAACUAAAGAAGCAGAUCCUGAUUUAUUUCAUUUCGAAAUAUGCUGGAAUAGCCUCCAUUGUCAAUAUACUAUCGAAACAACGUUUCCCUUACAACUCAAUUAAAACAAGCUGUGCAAUAAACAAAUUAAAUGUUAUUUUACCUUUUAUAA